GAAAAACAAAGCUCUGACGUCUUGUCCACAAGAGAUUCAGAAGAUUCAGAACAUGGUGGACGACAGUAAAAGAAAAUCCUCUGAACUACAGACCUUCCUGCCCAACAAACAGGUAAAAUCUAGUUGUUUGUACAAAGGGUUGAAGAAGGCGGUUGAUAAGUUGAGAAAGAUUAGAGGACUCAUUGCAACUUAGUCACCAGGAUCGGUCCCAGAUGGCAUCAAUAUCUAACAAGAGAGCAACCACAACAG